AUUGAACGCUGGCGGCAUGCUUUACACAUGCAAGUCGAACGGCAGCGCGGGCUUCGGCCUGGCGGCGAGUGGCGAACGGGUGAGUAAUGCAUCGGAACGUGCCCAGUAGUGGGGGAUAGCCCGGCGAAAGCCGGAUUAAUACCGAAUACGACCUGAGGGUGAAAGCGGGGGACCGAAAGGCCUCGCGCUAUUGGAGCGGCCGAUGUCGGAUUAGCUAGUUGGUGGGGUAAAGGCUUACCAAGGCGACGAUCCGUAGCUGGUCUGAGAGGACGACCAGCCACACUGGGACUGAGACACGGCCCAGACUCCUACGGGAGGCAGCAGUGGGGAAUUUUGGACAAUGGGGGCAACCCUGAUCCAGCCAUGCCGCGUGCGGGAAGAAGGCCUUCGGGUUGUAAACCGCUUUUGUUCGGGAAGAAAUCCUCUGGGCUAAUACCCCGGGGGGAUGACGGUACCGGAAGAAUAAGCACCGGCUAACUACGUG
rnacentral:rRNA from 1 species